AUUGAACGCUGGCGGCAUGCUUUACGCAUGCAAGUCGAACGGUAACAGGCCGCAAGGUGCUGACGAGUGGCGAACGGGCGAGUAAUGCAUCGGAACGUGCCCAGUCGUGGGGGAUAACUACUCGAAAGAGUAGCUAAUACCGCAUACGAUCUAUGGAUGAAAGCGGGGGACCGUAAGGCCUCGCGCGAUUGGAGCGGCCGAUGUCAGAUUAGGUAGUUGGUGGGGUAAAGGCUCACCAAGCCAACGAUCUGUAGCUGGUCUGAGAGGACGACCAGCCACACUGGGACUGAGACACGGCCCAGACUCCUACGGGAGGCAGCAGUGGGGAAUUUUGGACAAUGGGCGCAAGCCUGAUCCAGCAAUGCCGCGUGCAGGAAGAAGGCCUUCGGGUUGUAAACUGCUUUUGUACGGAACGAAACGGCUCUGGUUAAUACCCGGGGCUAAUGACGGUACCGUAAGAAUAAGCACCGGCUAACUACGUG
rnacentral:rRNA from 1 species